rnacentral:lncRNA from 1 species
GGGAUUGGGACGGUUGAAUCGACAGAUGCUGUAGCUGGUAGGCACUCAGCAAAUCCGACCUGAACCACACAGGAGUCUAGGGGUGGACCAAUGGAUUCUGGCAAGAGUAGGAGUUUGGAGACUACAGUGAAGAGAGUCUAUCGUGAUCUGCUUCUUCCAAAGAUAAAUACAAGCAAGAAAAUGUCCACCUUAACAAAUUCCCCCAACAGCCUGGAAGGGCCACCUGAAAUCAAGAAGAGCUGUGGGGAAAAACAAGCUGAAACCUCCGCUGAGAGAGUAAAGCUCACAAAGAGCAUCAAA